rnacentral:rRNA from 1 species
CGGGUGCACUGAUCCAGCCGGGCCUUUCCCUCUGUGGAACCUCAUGGCCUUCACUGGCUGUGCUGGGGAAACAGGACUUUUACUGUGAAAAAAUUAGAGUGCUUAAGGCAGGCCUAUGCUCGAAUACAUUAGCAUGGAAUAAUAGAAUAGGACGUGUGGUUCUAUUUUGUUGGUUUCUAGGACCGCCGUAAUGAUUAAUAGGGACAGUCGGGGGCAUCAGUAUUCAAUUGUCAGAGGUGAAAUUCUUGGAUCUAUUGAAGACUAACUACUGCGAAAGCAUUUGCCAAGGAUGUUUUCAUUGAUAAGGAACGAAAGUUAGGGGAUCGAAGACGAUCAGAUACCGUCGUAGUCUUAACUAUAAACUAUGCCGACUAGGGAUCGGACGAUGUUAUUUCUUGACGCGUUCGGCACCUUUCGAGAAAUCAAAGUGCUUGGGCUCCAGGGGGAGUAUGGUCGCAAGGCUGAAACUUAAAGAAAUUGACGGAAGGGCACCACCAGGGGUGGAACCCGCGGCUUAAUUUGACUCAACACGGGGAAACUCACCAGGUCCAGACACAGUGAGGAUUGACAGAUUGAGAGCUCUUUCUUGAUUCUGUGGGUGGUGGUGCAUGGCCGUUCUUAGUUGGUGGAGUGAUUUGUCUGCUUAAUUGCGAUAACGAACGAGACCUUAACCUGCUAAAUAGCCCGUACUGCUUUGGCAGUUCGCCGGCUUCUUAGAGGGACUAUCGG